AGCGAACGCUGGCGGCAGGCCUAACACAUGCAAGUCGAACGAAGUCUUCGGACUUAGUGGCGGACGGGUGAGUAACACGUGGGAACGUGCCCUUUGGUACGGAAUAACUCAGGGAAACUUGAGCUAAUACCGUAUGUGCCCUUCGGGGGAAAGAUUUAUCGCCAUUGGAGCGGCCCGCGUCUGAUUAGCUAGUUGGUGAGGUAAAGGCUCACCAAGGCGACGAUCAGUAGCUGGUCUGAGAGGAUGAUCAGCCACAUUGGGACUGGGACACGGCCCAAACUCCUACGGGAGGCAGCAGUGGGGAAUCUUGCGCAAUGGGCGAAAGCCUGACGCAGCCAUGCCGCGUGAAUGAUGAAGGUCUUAGGAUUGUAAAAUUCUUUCACCGGGGACGAUAAUGACGGUACCCGGAGAAGAAGCCCCGGCUAACUUCGUGCCAGCAGCCGCGGUAAGAC
rnacentral:rRNA from 1 species